rnacentral:rRNA from 1 species
GAUGAACGCUGGCGGCGUGCCUAAUACAUGCAAGUCGAGCGAACAGACGAGGAGCUUGCUCCUCUGACGUUAGCGGCGGACGGGUGAGUAACACGUGGAUAACCUACCUAUAAGACUGUGAUAACUUCGGGAAACCGGAGCUAAUACCGGAUAAUAUAUUGAACCGCAUGGUUCAAUAGUGAAAGACGGUUUUGCUGUCACUUAUAGAUGGAUCCGCGCCGCAUUAGCUAGUUGGUAAGGUAACGGCUUACCAAGGCAACGAUGCGUAGCCGACCUGAGAGGGUGAUCGGCCGCACUAGAACUGAGACACGGACCAAACUCCGACGGGAGGCAGCAGUAGGGAAUCUGCCGCAAAGGACGAAAGCUUGACGGAGCAACGCCGCGUGAGUGAUGAAGGUCUUCGGUUCGUAAAACUCUGUUAUUAGGAAAGAACAAAUGUGUAAGUAACGAUGCACGUCUUGACGGUACCUAAUCAGAAGGCCACGGCGAACUACGU